AUGUGGCAGAAGUCAAUUGAGGGGGACGAAAAGGAGGAAAAGGAGAUAAAAGCCGUUCGUACGCUUUGGAACACUGUGUUAGAGACUUUAACAUCAAUGAAGGCAGAGAGAGAAGUAGCUUGUGCAGCUGCACAAAUGUUGGGUCCGGGGGUCCCUGCCGAUAAGCCCCGAAAUAAGUUGGGACCUGUCGCGCGGUUCUUCGGACUGCCUGCCGUGAGGGGUAUGUCUGGGACAGUCUGUAAAAGCAUUGACGAGCUGCGGAAGAAAGGGGAGGGUCGCGACUCCCYGGGAGCAGAGAAAAUAGUACUACCGGAGCCCGAACAGGCACCCGAGAAAGCAGAAGUUUCUACGGGAAAGGCCGAUGCAAGCUCUGAAGCAAAAGCGGAAGUGCGCCCGGAGGAGGUCCUGAAAGGGGCGGAGGCCGCACCUCUUGCCGACCUCAUAGACUUGGGCGGAGAGAGGUACCGACCUCCUCCUUCUGCCCCUCCUCUUCCACCGCCUGCCGCACCGUCGUUGCACCCCCCACUGCCGUCCUUCAGCGAGUCCUCUGGUGAUACCACCCCAGUCGCCAGGAAAAAGUCGCCGCCAGCCCCAGAUGUCACUGCAAAAAUAUUGCAAACAGUUUUAAAGCGCCUUGAGGAAUUGGAGCUGCAGACAAAGCACAAGGGGGGAAGCGUUCCUCCAUGCUUCCUGAGCCCCUCUACACCAUCCGCGACUGCGCCUCCCGUACUUACGCGUUGGAGCGGCGUUAUCAAAGAUGCCAUUAUAGAAGGACAAUGGAAACCUCUCGGAGGGGCCGAGGGUCCCACAGCAUUGGCAUUCCCUGUGAUACAACAGAAUGGCCAAGGGAAAUGGGAGCCACAUGAUUGGAAAAUCUUGCAACAAGCUCGCACUACCGUCUUGACCUACGGAGUAAAAUCCGAGGCAACGAGGCAGAUAGUGAGUUGGAUCUUCUCCGCCCACCUCAUGUGUCCUCAGGACUGCAAGAACUUAAUGAGACUGUUACUUACCCUGACGCAAUAUCUCCUAUGGGCSUCGUCAUGGCAUCAGCGAGCCGCCAGUGAGGCAGCUCGCAGACAAGCAGAGGGAGAUCCUCUCCGUGGAAUAACUGCUGAUAUGCUUGUAGGUGAAGGAGCCUACAAUGACCUACAAGCGCAAAUAACAUUCCCGCCGAACAUGUUGCAGCUGUCCGCUCGGCUCGCAUUAGACGCAUUUCUUGGUCUACCAGGAUCAAGUGCUCCAUCAUUUAGCAAUCUACUUCAAGGGGCAACGGAGAAAUAUAGUAAUUUCAUAGAUCGACUGGGGGAAGCAAUCAUGCAACACCCUGAUUUGUCUGAUGAAAGCAAAAAUCAAAUGUUCAAGGUGUUAGCCUUCGACAAUGCUAAUAAGACCACAAAACAAACGUUAGCCAGCUUACCCAAGGGGGCUGGAGUAGAAGAAAUGCUCCUAAGGGUUGAGAGGGCUGAAGCACAAUGA
rnacentral:lncRNA from 1 species